GAAUCCAGUCACCAUGCUGUGAGGAUGCCCAAACUAAUCCAUGCAGAAAGACCACAUGGAGAGGGCCACAUGGAGAUCUGAGGCUUUCAGCUGACAGCCAGCAAGAACCAAUAGACAAGCAAGUGAAUAAACUUUCAGUCCCCAGCCUUCAAGUUCUCCAGCUUGUCUCAUGGAAAAAGAGACAAGCCAUCCUCGAGAUGCCCUGCUUAAAUUCCGAACCUACAGAAUCUGUCAAAUCCCACCUUAGAUUUAGAAGUAUAAUCUUAUCUUCUGAGUGCAAAGCUGAUCCAAAAGUGGAAGCAAUAGGAAAUUUCAGGAAUCACAGCAGGCUCUUAGAAAGUCUUUUGGGGACCAGAACUCUCCUGGGAACUCUAACUUUGCCCAGCCCACUGUUAUGUCAUGAACACAUCUAUGGAAACAUCCAAUGUGAUAAGGAACUGAGGUCUCUGACCAACACGUGAGUAAGAAGGGGAGCAGAUCCGCCAGACCCAGCAGACAUCUUGGCUGCACCCUCAGGAAAGGCCCUGAGCUAGA